rnacentral:rRNA from 1 species
AUACGGAAGGUCCGGGCGUUAUCCGGAUUUAUUGGGUUUAAAGGGAGCGCAGGCGGAGAUGCAAGCGUGACGUCAAAUUUCGGGGCUCAACCCCGUCUCGCGUCGCGAACUGCGUCCCUUGGUUGCGGGAAGGGGAGGCGGAACUCGUGGUGUAGCGGUGAAAUGCAUAGAUAUCACGAAGAACACCGAUCGCGAAGGCAGCCUUCCGGCCCGUCAACGACGCUCAUGCUCGAAGGUGCGGGUAUCAAACAGGAUUAGAUACCCUGGUAGUCCGCACAGUAAACGAUGGACACCCGCGGUUUGGCCUGUAUGGCUGAGCCGCCAAGCGAAAGCGUUAAGUGUCCCACCUGGGGAGUACGCCGGCAACGGUGAAACUCAAAGGAAUUGACGGGG